rnacentral:rRNA from 1 species
AUGAACAACCUCCACUUGCACUCAUGGUCUGCAUGUUCUGUAGCAAUGGAAUGCAGCUCCACUUGGUCGCCGUGUUCCAAGCUAGCGUGGAACAACGGCAAGAGGUACUCCGAGCUUGCCGCGUCUUGCACUGCCACGGCCAACGACACCAUGUCCGCCCUGCACAUCGACACCAAUCCAUGCAUUCCGGCGGCCAGUGAAAACAUGUGGAAGGAAACCCAGGAAGAAUACUAUGCAAUCCAUUACCAGCAAAUCGAAGUAGCCGCCCUAGGCUUCGAGUUUGCCGCAUCCUAUGAGGCCGCAACUAGAGACACUGCACCCCCCGACAGCUAG